rnacentral:lncRNA from 1 species
GAAAUGAAGAGAAGUAAGAGAUUUUGAGGUAAGAGAUUUUGCAGUGGUUGUCUCGAAUUUUGGAGAUUAGGGCUUAAGGUUUUGGUAGAGAGCAAGAAAGAGAGGGUUUUGAUCAAGGAUAGGCUGAAAGGAAGUGUCUACCCAAGAUUUUAUGAUAGAAACUAGAGAUUUUUGGGCAAAUGAAGGAUUGGAUUUAGGAGAUUAUGGCCGGUGGAGAGUUUGGAGAAGAGUUUCAGUUUGGGAUGAGAAG